AUUUAAUAGCACAUUCAGUUCACUGACAGAGCUCCAUCUUUUUUUCCUCUCCCCCUUUGCUUCCUUUUUAUUCUACUCUGAUAACAAAGGGGAAGAGAAACUAACUUUGUAUGGUUUGUACUUUUUGAUAAAAGCUACUAAUGAUCAGCCUUGGCAGGGGAGAUUCUGUUUUAAUGUCUUUUUUCAGAAUCUGUUUUAAUUCCUCAGAUAGGAACUUUAAGGAGCAAUGAAGGAGAGAGGUGCUGCUCUGAAACAGCAAGGAAAAAAAAUACUGCACACCUGGGACAGAUGAAGCCAAACCAAUGCUUUUAUAAUGCCAAUCAGCAAUGCUGUUAUCAUCCCGCUAAUUAGGAAAGCAGCCUAAAACAGAGAGCACUUUGGGAAAUGGACACCAAUGCAUCAUGCAUCCACAAAGGGCCGGGUGCUGCAUUCCCUCAGCUCGACUGUACCUCUGAGGAGGAAACCAGUGAAACCUUAAAAGAAAAGCAUCUUACCUGAACCUUUCACCAGCUCAGAGAAUUUCACCUUGUUGCAGGUUUCAGCCACUAGAUGACUUUCAUGCCAAAUAAAGAGUGAUAAGACCACUUUACGUCAACUUGGAUAAAGAAAAUGGUGGAACCAACCAAUUGCUACACACAGGUCCAUGGCUGCUGGGUUUCAGAACACGAGGCCUUGCUGCUUCCACGGACUCGUCUCCCAGGCUGGCACGUGCUCAGACUGUCUUGAACUCCAUGCUCUGCACUGUGACCUGCCUCCAGGACUCAGCUCCUGUGGAUCACAGGUGGAUCACAACCAAGAAAAAGAAUAUGCUUCACAUUAACAGUAGUUACAAGACCUUUCCCGUAAAUAUUUGCAAAUGAUGAAGCAGGAAGAUAAAGAGGAACCACAUGAUUUUUCAGGGCCGAUUUGAUCAACGAAUGACCAAGGACAAGAUGUUGUAAGGAGUUUAAGUUGGAUUCCUGAAGAAUUAUUUUUCUUUCAGUAUGCUGCUUCAACACAGAUAAAGUGCUUCAUCAUGACUCUCCUUUUGUAAUAUUUUUAUUCUAUUUGUCUGAUUUAGCCUAUGUACCAAGGCCAGAAGGAAGUACUUACAUAAUACUACAGCAAAUGCAACUCCCCACUUGCCUCACAAUGCUGUAGAUCUGUUUUGCACUUAUAUUUCUUUCAUGCCUGUGAAUUAUUUUGUAUGAGUGAAAAAAUGUAUUUACUCUUGACUGCAUCAGGGUAAUUCAAUCAAAUCAUAAUUAGUGCUAUCAGUAUGUGGAAGAGUUAGAAUUUUAUUUCCUUAUGCUGCCAGCACUUUAUUUCAUCAAAAUGAACUCCAGGCUACACCUCUAUUAGCCCUUCUAGCCAUCGUUAGGUCCCUUGGUACAAAUAUUGAUAUAUCUCUAUUUGACUAUAUUGGUCGGUUAGCUCAGAUGGUUAGAGUGUGGUGCGAAUAACAUCGAGGUUGUGGGUUCAGUCCCCACACUGAGCAGGUAUAGGAUUGGGGUUCACAC